AUUGAACGCUGGCGGCAGGCUUAACACAUGCAAGUCGAGCGGGGGAAGGUAGCUUGCUACCGGACCUAGCGGCGGACGGGUGAGUAAUGCUUAGGAAUCUGCCUAUUAGUGGGGGACAACAUCUCGAAAGGGAUGCUAAUACCGCAUACGUCCUACGGGAGAAAGCAGGGGAUCUUCGGACCUUGCGCUAAUAGAUGAGCCCAAGUCGGAUUAGCUAGUGGGUGGGGUAAAGGCCUACCAAGGCGACGAUCUGUAGCGGGUCUGAGAGGAUGAUCCGCCACACUGGGACUGAGACACGGCCCAGACUCCUACGGGAGGCAGCAGUGGGGAAUAUUGGACAAUGGGGGGAACCCUGAUCCAGCCAUGCCGCGUGUGUGAAGAAGGCCUUAUGGUUGUAAAGCACUUUAAGCGAGGAGGAGGCUACUUUAGUUAAUACCUAGAGAUAGUGGACGUUACUCGCAGAAUAAGCACCGGCUAACUCUGUGCCAGCAGCCGCAGUAA
rnacentral:rRNA from 1 species